rnacentral:rRNA from 1 species
GACGAACCGUGCAAACGUUAUUCGGAAUCACUGGGCAUAAAGGGCGCGUAGGCGGCUUUCUAAGUCAGUGGUGAAAGCCCGGAGCUCAACUCCGGAACUGCCAUUGAAACUGUUUAGCUUGAGGAUGAGAGAGGUGAGUGGAAUUCCCAGUGUAGAGGUGAAAUUCGUAGAUAUUGGGAAGAACACCGGUGGCGAAGGCGGCGUCCUGGACCAACACUGACACUGAGGAGCGAAAGCCAGGGGAGCAAACGGG